CUGAGCAGGUCAUAAGAAGCUGUCAGAUCUGCUGAAAAGACAAAUGGUUGUGAACUGCUGUGUGGGUUCUGGAAAUUGAGCCGGGUCAUCUGGAAGCACCCCAAGCAUCACAUGCAGAAUUUCUAGACAAGAGAAUUUACAGGGCUAAUGACUUAGAAUUCGAUAAUCAACUUAGGUGCUCAUCCCUGGAGAUGAUCAAAUGCUGAAUACAAGGAAGCCACAUACAUGAAGGGUCAAACAUAUGAUAGGCUGAACAAUAUUUGGACAAUGAAAGCACAUGUCUACAUGCCUGCAUGGAUUGGAAAAAUAGCAUCAGACAUCACCUCGAGAUGAAGAGCUACAGUCAAUUAAUGACUACUGAGAAAGCAAGAAUCAGUCUUCUUCAAGGUGUCAGUCUAAAAGCAUAUAUAUCACAACAUUAAAUAGAUUCAACAGGUUGUAUUCACAUAUUUAUAUCCAUGUAUGCAUGUAGCAGUAAUAAUUAAAGAAAAAAUUUAAAAUGGAAAAAAUUUAAAUGGGAUGUGAAGUCAGGGAUGUAUGAGAUUAAUCUGGAAGGGAUUUGGGCACAGAGUAGGGUGAAUAUGAUUAAAAUACAAUUUAUGCAAAUAUGAAAUUCUCAAAAAGUUAAUAAAUACAUUAUAUUGUUAAUAAAAUGUGUAAGCUGACAAGAUAUCUCACUGGAUAGAAGUGCUUGCCUGGAAGAUUGAUGACCUGAGUUUGAUCCCUAGGUCCCACAAUUUAGAAGGAGAGAAUCAACUCCUAAUUUUGUCUUCUAACCUCUACAAUGGGACUUAUGGAUUUUCACAUACAAAUACAUACACAUAAACACAUACAAUUUUAAAAAUGAAAUAUGUGAACAUUUGUCAUUAUUUCUCCAUAACAAGAAAUAUAAAACUUAUUCCAAAUUAUCUGGAAUGACCACCUCUAGUUUCCUGUUUAAUUCAUUGAACCUAGAUUCCUUGCUUCAUCUUUACCUUUGCAGCUGUUGUUUAAUUUUAUUUUACUGGGAUACAAUAGAUGUCUAAAUUCCAUCUUUGGCACAUGUUAUCUCUUGCAUAACUAAGUGAUUUAACAGUCCAUGUUAAACUGCUUCUGCUUCAUCAUGUUUGCAUUAAAGAAACAUUUCCUGAUUGUCAAUAGCACUAAGAAAUAUGGAUAAUGUGGUGUUUUUAAAAGCCCCACAAUGAUAUUGGGAAGAUUAAUAUACAUCACAGAAACACUGGAGACCAAUUAAAAGGCAACAAAUCAGUGAGCCUGUGAUUGUGUGGUAUAAUCAAUAUGCUUAAGAACUAGGAGAGUGAAAAUUUAGGGAGAAUAAUCUGAGGUAUAAUUAGAUCUAAUUACAUUUUGAGAUAAUAACCCUGAUCGUGCCCUGGUGAUUCCACAUGAGGUGUUUGAGGUUAUGAGGAUUUGGUUCUCUGUUUAUCCAGGCAGGUUGAGUACAUCCCUGGAAAUGAUGACCUUAUUUGAUAGUAGGUAUUCUUAGCAUUAUUGCUCUCCUUGUGGCUAGGAAUUAGCAGCAUAUUUGAGUUUGGGGUGAAUGGUAACCCAUAUUAUAUGUUUUUAAAUAUUAAAUUAAGCCAGGUAAAAAUGUUUGGGGCAUUAUAGAUGGGAAUAGUCCAUUAUUAUUUUGCUACUUUCAUAGAAUUGAAAAAAAUAAAUUAAAAUGUAUUUCUCAAAUUAAGUGCCACCUGUAUAGGAAACCAGGAAGUCAUUGUUAUACAUAUGGCAAUUUUAAAAUACAUUGAGCUGCAAAUAAUAAACGAUCUCAAAAUAAAUUAGUUUUCUGCCUUUCCCCUCUCUUUCAAAACUGGAAUUUCAUGUGUAUUUAACUCUAAAAUGGCCAAUAUUGGCAUGUAUGCUACAGAGUCAUAGAUGUCUAUGGAUCAAGAUUUCUGCUAGAGGCAUAUAGA